GUGUGUUCGACAAGCCCUAGACAUAGGCUUGUCGAACUGAUGGUGUUCGGCAGGCCAUCCAUAGACCUGUCGAACACCAUCAUCGUUUGACUGGGGUGGUGGGGGGGCCGUCGACCGUCAGCAGUUCGACAGGCCUCUCGACGCCAGGUGGUGGGUCCUGUCGAACUGUGGGUGUUCGAUAGGUUCUCUGUCAAACAGUAGCGGUUCGAUAGGGCCUAAUCGAACAUCCACCGUUCGAUAAUGUGCUAAAAUUACGAUUUUCUACGAAUCACCUCUAAUCUUGUAAUUUUCUAUUAAAAUAAUGUUAUUUCUUUAAAAAAAAUUCCUAAAAAUACAUCACGGAGCCAGCUACGCCGUCUACCACCAUUCUCCGCCCCGGCCCGACCCACGCACCGGCAGCCGCCAGCGAUGGCGGCCGCACGCAAGCCCUCAAAGAGGAAUCGCCAUUGCCAACCAACCGUAGCCACUAGCCAGGUCAUCCACUUCGCCGGCGCUCCCCCACCACCGGGAUGGACGGCGCACCGCCGGGAUGAACGAGGAAUCCGGCGGGCAGCCCAGCCAGCAGCGGCGGGUUCGCAUGCCCGCAUUCUCAACUCGACGGCGGGAAAAGACCGCUCCUCGCCGCCGGCGGAUCAGAAUCUGUCAUCCAGGGUAAUGGUAGUUGGAAAAGACCGAUCAAUCUUGCUUGCUGCAGCUGUAAUGAUCCAAGGAGCUAUUAUUGAAAAUAACUUGUGGUCAGGGGCCACUAUUUCCCCCAGCAUAAACAUCGGUGAUCCCCUGCUGGACUGCAUGGAGUGCACCAAAUGAAUCCUCCUCAACAACAAGUGAGAGGGACAAGAUAUCAACUCCAUCAUGAAUUGCAUCAUCUAGAGCUGCUAGUACUCCAGCGCUAGCAAGCUUUACACUAUUCCCUGUGUCCCAUGCUACCUUAUAUACUGCAAGACGUGCUCGGGGAGCACUGCCACGGGCCACUCCUGUUGCUAGGCCAUGUAAGCUGACACCUUCCACAACUUCACCUGCUGCUAUGGACGCCGUGUGCGUUCCAUGCCCGCUCAUGUACCGGGCAGACAUGUAAUUCUUCUUUAUAUCAGCUCUUUCCAUACCUGCAGCAUAGUACCGCGCGCCAAUGAUUUUCCUGCUGCAGUUGGUUGGUCCCUAGGCCUGUCCUAGCUGACACACACCCUUCCAUCGUGCUGAAGCUUACUGGGUGGUUGGUAGUUUACUCCUAGGAAAUCCCAAUCCCAGCUUCUGGUGGUCAUCAGCUCAUGUUGCUUAUUUGGAGUAAGACUGAUUACUUCAGGUAAUUCUGAACAUAAAGAAAUAGAUAUGUGAGCUUUUAUCUAAGUAUAAACAAGGAGAACAAUAAUAAUAAUAUAAUGCUCUCCCAGGACAUAUCUCUUCUUGUUGAACGUUUUCCUUCUGGGUUGUAAAUGGAUAGUUCAAGAUAGGGAGUCAAAACCUAUGAUUGCCAGUUUGGCACCAUGGGCUUCAGGUAACUGCUGCAACAGCAAUAGCAGCUGGUUGAAUCAACUAACAGCUGCAGUUGUCCAAUCCUAGACAACGGGGGUGAUGACGGUCGGAAAAGACCGAUCAAUCUUGCUCGCUGCGACUGUAAUGACCCAAGGAGCUGUGUUAAAAAGGACUUGAGGUCGAGGGCCACUAUUUCCCCCAGCAUAAACAACAGUAAUCCCAUUCUGCACUGCAUGGAGGGCACCAAAUGAAUCCUCGUCAACAACAAGUGAGAGGGAUAGGAUAUCGACUCCAUCGUGGAUUGCAUCAUCAAGAGCUGCUAGUACUGCAGCAGUAGGAAGGCCGGCUGCGUAGUACCGUGCACCAAUGAUUUUCCUGCUGCAGUUGGAGGGUCCCCAGGCCUGUCCUAGUUGACAGAUGCCCUUCCAUCGUGAUGGUACUUCAUCAUAUCCAUGGUCGCUGAAGCUUUUUGAUUCAGGCCAGAUUCCUGCAUCAAUAGCAUAAGCUCACUGGGUGGUUCAUAGUUCAGCCCGAGGAAAUCCCAACUUCUGGUGGUCAUUAGCUCAUGCUUCUGAUUUGGAGUAAUACUGAUAACUUCAGUGAACAUUUGUUUUGGCGAGUGGAUAGUGAACCUUUCAUGAAAGGUUGCAUGAAGCAGACAUAUCAAGUUUCUCUAUCUUCGAAGUCACGUGACUUUAUCGCUGACAUAUGGUCCCGAUGAACCCUGGGCAUAUAUCAGUGAUAAAAGGUACGAUGUCUUUGUAUGUGUAUGAAGAGGAUCACAAUCUGAGGCAGACUAGCGUUUCUGUCUGUGAGCGUUUGCAGGGACGUUGCACGAAAGAAGCCACGGAGAAUUGAAAUGUCGUAACUGGCAGCAGAGCGGGUUAGGACUUCCAGUGUCGAAUAGCUCUCGUUACAAGAAGUGUUGAGACAAUAUAGUGUGGUCAAUUUUCAUUAAUUUUGACCGCUAUUAUCCACCGAAAUAUAUAGGUUGUCUUAAUGAAAUUUCACAUUUAUUUUUUCGUCAACGUCAAUUUUGCAAGGGAGAAGUUGGUAUAAUCCCUUGGAUCAACUUCGAAGUUGCCAGG